ACCCUAUCUGCCACUCACACACACCACAAUCCUUCUCUCUCCCUCUCAAGUUUCGCCGCCUCCUUCUCCCUCAGAAUCUGCCGCCGCGCAGAUCGCCGGAGGAGCAACGACGAUAGGUCGCGCCACCCUCGGCUCUAUAAUCUCUCUCUCGACUGGAACACAGCAGCACAGACGCACGUCUGCGCCACCACCCCCGCCGCUUUCCUCAGACCUCAGGCAGUCGCAGCAAAUUGCGACCCCUCUUGUCGCCCAGAGAUUGAGCGACCGCGCCGCCGAAACCCUAAGCCCCAAAACUCCCUUCUCUGAUCUCCGACGAACAGCAGCAGAAGCCGCCAUCGCCGUCCCAGCCCCCUGUUCUCCCCUUCAGUUCCGCCAUCUCCGACACUCCCUCUGUAACCCCGGGCGUCGACAUGGCCACCAGCCGCACCGCCCCUCUCUCUGCACUCCGACGACUAUAACAACGUCGCCGUCGACAAUGCUACAGCCUCCCUCUCUCUCUCUCUCUCCUGGGUCUGAUCGGCAGCAGCUGAGCCGCCGCCGACGCUCCUCCCUCUCCUCUGCUCAACCUUGGCCGAUGGCACCGCCAUCGCCGCCCUCAAAUUCCCAGCGAGUAGCAGCCACCAAGCUGCCACCACCGCCGCCCAUUUCCCUUCUGUUCUUACUCAGACGGCAGCAACGAGCCACCGCCGACUCUACCCGAUUCUGACUUCACACUCACAAAAACAGCAGCCCCGACAUCAAAACGAAGUUUUAAGACAUCAUAUUCAAUUAUUCAUGCUUUCUUAUGCAUAUGCACAGAUUGUAUCUAUAUAUAUAAUUAUGCGAAUACAUAUGUAUGCUCGUGAUGUAGCUCUACUGUCAUUUUAAUAAAGAUGGCAAAUAAUGUGAGAAUACAAUUUAUAGAGUAG
rnacentral:lncRNA from 1 species